rnacentral:rRNA from 1 species
GGGAUAUUGCACAAUGGGGGAAACCCUGAUGCAGCGACGCCGCGUGGGUGAAGAAGUCUUUCGGGAUGUAAAGCCCUAUCAGCAGGGAAGAUAAUGACGGUACCUGACUAAGAAGCCCCGGCUAACUACGUGCCAGCAGCCGCGGUAAUACGUAGGGGGCAAGCGUUAUCCGGAUUUACUGGGUGUAAAGGGAGCGUAGACGGAACAGCAAGUCUGAGGUGAAAUGUAGGGGCUCAACUCCUGAAUUGCCUUGGAAACUGUUGAUCUAGAGUACCGGAGGGGCAGGCGGAAUUCCUGGUGUAGCGGUGAAAUGCGUAGAUAUCAGGAAGAACACCGGUGGCGAAGGCGGCCUGCUGGACGGUAACUGACGUUGAGGCUCGAAAGCGUGGGGAGCAAACA